rnacentral:rRNA from 1 species
GUGCCAGCCGCCGCGGUAAUACGUAGGUGGCAAGCGUUGUCCGGAUUUAUUGGGCGUAAAGCGAGCGCAGGCGGUUUCUUAAGUCUGAUGUGAAAGCCUUCGGCUCAACCGAAGAAGUGCAUCGGAAACUGGGAAACUUGAGUGCAGAAGAGGACAGUGGAACUCCAUGUGUAGCGGUGAAAUGCGUAGAUAUAUGGAAGAACACCAGUGGCGAAGGCGGCUGUCUGGUCUGUAACUGACGCUGAGGCUCGAAAGCAUGGGUAGCAAACAGGAUUAGAUACCCUGGUAGUCCAUGCCGUAAACGAUGAGUGCUAGGUGUUGGAGGGUUUCCGCCCUUCAGUGCCGCAGCUAACGCAUUAAGCACUCCGCCUGGGGAGUACGACCGCAAGGUUGAAACUCAAAGGAAUUGACGGGGGCCCGCACAAGCGGUGGAGCAUGCGGUUUAAUUCGAAGCAACGCGAAGAACCUUACCAGGUCUUGACAUCCUUUGACCACUCUAGAGAUAGAGCUUUCCCUUCGGGGACAAAGUGACAGGUGGUGCAUGGUUGUCGUCAGCUCGUGUCGUGAGAUGUUGGGUUAAGUCCCGCAACGAGCGCAACCCUUAUUACUAGUUGCCAGCAUUAAGUUGGGCACUCUAGUGAGACUGCCGGUGACAAACCGGAGGAAGGUGGGGACGACGUCAAAUCAUCAUGCCCCUUAUGACCUGGGCUACACACGUGCUACAAUGGAUGGUACAACGAGUUGCGAGACCGCGAGGUUUAGCUAAUCUCUUAAAACCAUUCUCAGUUCGGAUUGUAGGCUGCAACUCGCCUACAUGAAGCCGGAAUCGCUAGUAAUCGCGGAUCAGCAUGCCGCGGUGAAUACGUUCCCGGGCCUUGUACACACCGCCCGU